rnacentral:rRNA from 1 species
UACGUAGGUGGCAAGCGUUGUCCGGAUUUACUGGGCGUAAAGAGCGCGCAGGCGGUCGUUCAAGUCGCGUGUGAAAGCCCCCGGCUCAACUGGGGAGGGUCACGCGAUACUGAUCGACUCGAAGGCAGGAGAGGGUAGUGGAAUUCCCGGUGUAGUGGUGAAAUGCGUAGAUAUCGGGAGGAACACCAGUGGCGAAGGCGACUACCUGGCCUGUACUUGACGCUGAGGCGCGAAAGCUAGGGGAGCAAACGGG